UUUUACCCCUAUGACUUCAGUCAGCGUCAGGACCAACCCAAUGUUCCCCUGAUACCUCAAAUUCCAAAUGUCUUCCCCUUCGAUUUUAUGCCACAGACAGUUCCCCAGCAGCCACCUGUG